UAAGGAAUAUUGGACAAUGGAGGCAACUCUGAUCCAGCCAUGCCGCGUGAAGGAAUAAGGCCCUAUGGGUUGUAAACUUCUUUUAGACGGGACAAAACCCCUUUACGUGUAAAGGGUUGAUGGUACUGUCAGAAUAAGCAUCGGCUAACUUCGUGCCAGCAGCCGCGGUAAUACGAAGGAUGCAAGCGUUAUCCGGAAUUAUUGGGUUUAAAGGGUGCGUAGGCGGACUAAUAAGUCAGUGGUGAAAGCCUGCAGCUUAACUGCAGAAUUGCCGUUGAUACUGUUAGUCUUGAGUACAAUUGAGGUAGGCGGAAUGUGUCAUGUAGCGGUGAAAUGCUUAGAUAUGACACAGAACACCGAUUGCGAAGGCAGCUUGCUAAGCUGUAACUGACGCUGAGGCACGAAAGCGUGGGGAGCAAAC
rnacentral:rRNA from 1 species